GGUCAGUGCUUAACACGAGCUUGUUUUUCUCUUCCUUAGUUUUGCAGGUCAGCUGGCCUUGGCUGCAAGCUCUAGGUUGAAUCCAGGUCUGCUCCACACGUCUUGCAGCCCUUUGAGACCAGUGGCUGCCUGGAGCAUGCUCUUCUCAUAGUGAAUGGCAGGAGCUCAAGAGAAGCCCACCCAUGCAGGCACUCUGCUCACAUCACACCCAUUCAAGUUCUGUUGGCCAACGGAGAAAAUGAACUGAGUUGCAGUCAAUUAAAUAGAAGAGGAUCUGCUGAUUUGGGCGUUAACACUUCCAACCUGACUCAGCUCACUGAAUUAUUCAUCAAAAAUGUUCCACUGGUAGUUCCUCCUCUGUUGGAGUUUUGCAGUUCCAGAAACACUCUGCCCUGGAGUUGCAAUCAGAGCAAUUAGCAGCCCCUUCUGGGAGCCAGCUGGCCCGUACCCUCAGCUUCCCGACCUGGGCUGUGUGGAUGGAGAGCCAGCCCUGCCUGGAGUCUGAGUUUUCUGCAGGGGCCAACCUGAGCUGGAAACCCCACUGAACCCCUGCAGACUCCCCCUCCUCCUUUGCUGGGAUGAGCAGAUCAAGUAACCAUCCCCCCCGCAAGAGCUCAGGAGUUCUGCUAACGCCUCCCCUUGUCUGACUAGCUGAUUCCUUUGUGCCUCAGUUUCUUUGGCUCUAGAGUGGGAAGGACAGCCCUUGCCUGCUCGCCUUGCAGUGUCGUUGGUGCGGUAUGGGGCCCACCUUGGUCCCGAGCAAUGUCCGCUACCGGGAUUCCAAUGGACUCUGUCAACUGAGAGAAGGUUCCUGCAGAAGUCAGUUUGCCUGGAAGGAUGAUUUCUCUCCAAUAGGCAUUGCUGUUUCGUUAUAAGUGUAUUCCCGUUACACGACCUCCAUCUCUGGUGUCUCUCAUCUGCACAGACCCAUCCUUGUGGGUUUGCAUCUGUGUCCUGGUCAGAGCAGCGAGAAGAUGAAAUAGUCACACAACAGCGCUUUGCACAAAAUAGGCGAUAGCAUACUUCCCACCGUCAUAGACCUCUCUGGGCUUUUUGUCACUUUGGGGGUCCUGUGUGGUACUGUCAGCAGGAGGACUUCUCAGCAAGAGGACACCUGGGGCGCCAGCAUGAAGCUAUGACUCUGUGAUGCUGGGCCCCCCAACGCUUCUCCUUUGCCGCAAACCUGCAAACCACUUUUCUCCGGCAAACCGCAAUUUCUCCUUUGCCAGCAUCCCUGAUAGGCUCUGCCACCAGGGGGCACUAGAGAGACUGGAAGGCUGGUGGAGGAGGAUGCUUAUCCCUGUCUGCUUUCUGCUCCCGUGAGCAGUGCCUCACGAGGUUGCUUCUUCUCCCCGACCUCAGCAGCUCCUUCCCAAAGCAGCCACGAAAUCCACACCGCAGUCUUUCCAUUUUCCAUCUUGCAGAACUAGCUGUGCUGCUCACUCCCAGGCCAGAAACACUGCACAAGCCGUCUGGCAUCCCCUUCUCAGAGUCUGGGUCUCAGCCCCAGGGGCAGCCUCUGAGCACAGAGACGCCAGCACCAGCUGGCUGCCUCCUCCACCCCUCCACCCCCCCCUCCAAGAUACCUGUCAGGUCCUCCCUCCAAGCUUCUAAGUGUUUUAAGAAUUCCAGUGUUUUGCCUUGGUGCCCACCCAGCCCAAGGGGGAGGGAGCUGUUCCCUGCAGUUGCUACCUCUGUAAUACCUUAGAGUUCUCAUUACCUUUUUUUUUUUUUUUGGCCUCACUGAGCAGCUUGGGGGAUCUUAGUUCCCUGACCAGGGAUCGAACCUGUGCCCCAUGCAAUGGAAGCGCAGAGUCCUAACCACUGGACCGCCAGGGAAUUCCCUCCCUUCUUUUUUUUCUUUUUUUGCAGGCCUCUCACUGUUGUGGCCUCUCCCGUUGCAGAGCACAGGCUC